CCAUGUGGGGUGAUGUGAUAAUGUACUAAUGUAUAUGUAGAUAUAUGGGUUGUCGCUACCAUGUCUCUAAAUGCAGAUACUGAGUUUGCCAAAGCAUGGAGACAACAACUCAAAGAAGCCUGAAAAAAAAAAAAAACUAAAGUUUCCUAGGCAUAAGCUGGCAUACACUUACUUGGGUGCUGCAAUUCUUUAUCAUCGAUCCUGAACUAGUACAUAGGUGCCACAAUCUUUAUGUAUGAAGAAAUUCUAAUCAAUGUGCCACAAUGGGAUUUAGUUAUUUAUUUCGCUGAUGUGAGGUUGUAAUUGUUGAUUGGUUUAGUUAUAAUGGAUUUGAUAUUGUAGUUUAACUUCA